ACUCUUGAUUCUCUAUUUGCUAUAUUAGAAAUUGUUGAUCAGAUGCUUCUUGAGCAGGAGGAGGACUUCCAUAAGAGGGAAAAUGAAUGAAAUCCCCAAGGGAUAGCAAUUCCGUCCUGGUCCCCUACAGCAGCAAGGUGCUUCUCAGGGGAGCCACUCUUCUCUCCCUCGACCUCUGCAUGGGUUCGAUGCUGUCAUUGGUCACAGAAAAUGGAGGGAAAAAGAAGUGCCAACUCUUUCUUCACGCCAAAGUUUCCAAUGACGCUUCUCAUCCUGUGUUGUAGCCAUUACAAGCUAGCAACAGACCAUAAUACCCUGACCAUUCCUGGAUGCUGGAA